rnacentral:tRNA from 2 species
GCGCGAUUAGCUCAGCGGGAGAGCGCUUCCCUGACACGGAAGAGGUCGCUGGUUCAAUCCCAGUAUCGCGCACCA